CAGUCUCAUAAAGACACAUAAACACAGUUACAUAUAGUCAUACACAUCACUCAUAGUCACACGUGCACACAUAUUCACAGUUACACACACGGUCAUAUACAGAAAAUCACACACACAUGGCCACAUGCACACAGUCACCAAAGUCACAUACACACACCAACACAGUCACCUAAAGUCAAAUUACCAGCCACACAGAGUUACACACAGCCAAAGUCACAUACACAAAGUCAC